UACGAAGGGGGCUAGCGUUGUUCGGAAUUACUGGGCGUAAAGCGCACGUAGGCGGAUCGAUCAGUCAGGGGUGAAAUCCCAGGGCUCAACCCUGGAACUGCCUUUGAUACUGUCGAUCUGGAGUAUGGAAGAGGUGAGUGGAAUUCCGAGUGUAGAGGUGAAAUUCGUAGAUAUUCGGAAGAACACCAGUGGCGAAGGCGACUACCUGGCCUGUUCUUGACGCUGAGGCGCGAAAGCUAGGGGAGCAAACGGG
rnacentral:rRNA from 1 species